rnacentral:rRNA from 1 species
UACGAAGGGGGCUAGCGUUGUUCGGAAUUACUGGGCGUAAAGCGCGCGCAGGCGGUCCUUCAAGUCAGAGGUGAAAGCCCAGAGCUCAACUCUGGAACGGCCUUUGAGACUAGAGGACUUGGGUACGGGAGAGGUGAGUGGAAUUCCGAGUGUAGAGGUGAAAUUCGUAGAUAUUCGCAAGAACACCAGUGGCGAAGGCGGCUCACUGGCCCGGUACUGACGCUGAGGUGCGAAAGCGUGGGGAGCAAACAGGAUUAAGAAACCC